rnacentral:rRNA from 1 species
AUUGAACGCUGGCGGCAGGCCUAACACAUGCAAGUCGAACGAGUGGCGGACGGGUGAGUAAUGUCUGGGAAAAUGCCUGAUGGAGGGGGAUAACUACUGGAAACGGUAGCUAAUACCGCAUACCAUCGGAUGUGCCCCUAUGGGAUUAGCUAGUAGGUGGGGUAAAGGCUCACCUGGGCGACGAUCCCUAGCUGGUUUGAGAGGAUGACCAGCCACACUGGAAAUGAGACACGUUCCAGACUCCUAAGGUGGGCAGCAGUGGGGAAUAUUGCACAAUGGGCGAAACCCUGAUGCAGCAAUGUCGGGUGUAUGAAGAAGGCCUGCGGGUUGUAAAGUACUUUCAGCGGGGAGGCGUUACCCGCAGAAGAAGCACCGGCUAACUCCGUGCCAGCCGCCGCGGUAAUAC